GAUGAACGCUGGCGGCGUGCCUAAUACAUGCAAGUCGAGCGAACGGACGAGAAGCUUGCUUCUCUGAUGUUAGCGGCGGACGGGUGAGUAACACGUGGAUAACCUACCUAUAAGACUGGGAUAACUUCGGGAAACCGGAGCUAAUACCGGAUGAUAUUUUGAACCGCAUGGUUCAAAAGUGAAAGACGGUCUUGCUGUCACUUAUAGAUGGAUCCGCGCUGCAUUAGCUAGUUGGUAAGGUAACGGCUUACCAAGGCAACGAUGCAUAGCUGACCUGAGAGGGUGAUCGGCCACACUGGAACUGAGACACGGUCCAGACUCCCACGGGAGGCAGCAGUAGGGAAUCUUCCGCAAUGGGCGAAAGCCUGACGGAGCAACGCCGCGUGAGUGAUGAAGGUCUUCGGAUCGUAAAACUCUGUUAUUAGGGAAGAACAUAUGUGUAAGUAACUGUGGACAUCCUGACGGUACCUAAUCAGAAAGCCACGGCUAACUACGUG
rnacentral:rRNA from 1 species